GAUGAACGCUGACAGAAUGCUUAACACAUGCAAGUCAACUUGAACUUCGGUUUGGGUGGCGGCCGGGUGAGUAACGCGUAAAGAACUUGCCUCACAGCUAGGGACAACAUUUGGAAACGAAUGCUAAUACCUGAUAUUAUGAUUAUAUGGCAUCGUAUAAUUAUGAAAGCUAUAUGCGCUGUGAGAGAGCUUUGCGUCCCAUUAGCUAGUUGGAGAGGUAACAGCUCACCAAGGCGAUGAUGGGUAGCCGGCCUGAGAGGGUGAUCGGCCACAAGGGGACGGAGACACGGCCCUUACUCCUCCGGGAGGCAGCAGUGGGGAAUAUUGGACAAUGGACCGAGAGUCUGAUCCAGCAAUUCUGUGUGCACGAUGAAGUUUUUCGGAAUGUAAAGUGCUUUCAGUUGGGAAGAAAAAAAUGACGGUACCAACAGAAGAAGUGACGGCUAAAUACGUG
rnacentral:rRNA from 1 species